UACAGAGGGGGCAAGCGUUGUUCGGAAUUACUGGGCGUAAAGCGUGCGCAGGCGGUUCGCUAAGUUCGUUGUGAAAUCCCUGGGCUCAACCCAGGAACUGCGUCCGAUACUGGUUGGCUUGAAUCCGGGAGAGGGAUGUGGAAUUCCAGGUGUAGCGGUGAAAUGCGUAGAUAUCUGGAGGAACACCGGUGGCGAAGGCGACAUCCUGGACCGGCAUUGACGCUGAGGCGCGAAAGCCAGGGGAGCAAACGGG
rnacentral:rRNA from 1 species